GGGGGCGCACCGGUUUCGACGGGGACGUGGAAUCCGGAGUGGCAGGCCGAGGCGCCGCUGGCCUCGUUAAAAGCGGCAACACAGUAAUUGCCAACAACGAUUACGACUACGCUUACGCUGCCUAGGCAACGGAGCAAAUGACCGCGCAAGUCGGUCACGUUGUUCAGGAUCACGCCUGAUAAUCCCGAACAACGACACUUUUCAGGCUGGCGAAAAUCGGCGCUUGCCGGGAUUUUUUCGUGAGAUGUUACCGGCGGGCUUGCUGUACCGCGGCUGAUCAGGGUCUACCGGUAUGGCGAAAAUCAAGCCUGAUCUAAGCCUGUAGAUGCUUCGCGUGGAAUGCUCUCGGACGGGGGUUCAACUCCCCCCGCCUCCACCA
rnacentral:tmRNA from 1 species